AGUGGUCGAACGCAAACAAGGUCACCGCGAAUGCCAUCUGAGCUCCUCUCGACGCACCUUGCCCACUAUCGUGCACGCAUCCACCAGCGUUCAGCACGCUUUGUUUUUUUUUUCUUUUUCUGCCGCGUCUCGUCCCCCUGCUCGCACUGGCGUUUUGCGUUUGUGUGUGGCCGCAGUGGCAUCAGCCACCGCCCCUUCUGUGCUCUUGUCGAGUGUGCGUCUCUUCUUCCAAGCACGUUCGUCUGUAAGCGCGUGUCAAUGUGGGUCCGUGCUGUACACAGAGGCACGACAUGUGCGGUGAGGGUGGUGCGUGCGUACGUGCUGCUCCAACUCCCCUCGCGCACGAGUGUGCCGGGAACACAUUGGCUUUGUGGAUACGUCUCCACCGCGAGGGACUGCCAUGGCCACGAACACACCGGCAACGGCAAACGAUAAGGUGACGUGAGACACAAUGAAAGGAGCAACGACAAAAAGAAGAAGGCGUCUAAGGCAGAAGUCUGCGUGGGUCAACAAAGGAGAUCAGCACAGUACGGUGCGGACGCACGAAGACACGCACACAUAGGAACAGCACAGCCGUUGGGUAUUUGCACUGCCGAGUCUUUGCACUCACCGCGCUCUGCUUUCC
rnacentral:misc_RNA from 1 species